rnacentral:rRNA from 1 species
CCUUCUCUUGUUUAUCCCGCCUAUAUACCGCCGUCGUCAGCCCACCCUGUGAAGGCCCAGUAGUGCGCAAGACUGGCAUAGCCCAGAACGUCAGGCCGAGGUGUAGCGUAUGAGAAGGGAAGAAAUGGGCUACAAUUGCUUAAACAGCUAAAACGAAUUGUAACGCUGAAAACGCACACAUGAAGGAGGAUUUAGAAGUAAGGGGACAAACAGAGUGUUUCCCUGAAAUGGUUCUGAAGCGUGCACACACCGCCCGUCACUCUCCCCAAGCUAGAAUACUGCAACGAUAUAACUAAACAAUUAAGCCUACAAAGGGGAGGCAAGUCGUAACAUGGUAAGUGUACCGGAAGGUGCACUUGGAAGAAAC